rnacentral:lncRNA from 1 species
AUGGUCCUUGCUAGGCUGCUCCCAGGGAUGCUGCAGGAACAGGAACGAGCCUGGAACUUAUUCUGAUAGAUGUCUGGGUAUGGUCACACUGUUUGGAACCUAAGAGAGUUUAAUAGCAUAGAUGCAACUGUUAGUUCCUAUGCCAAACAAUGACUCCUGGCAACGUUUGUCUUGUUAAUUUGCAGAUUUGAGAUCAAUGAGACAAACUGGAAAGAGAAACACAUUUAAGUGUUCUGAGAGAUGAAGGCUGAAAAAAGGUAAGAGUCUGGUCUAUCAAUUCUCCUCUUUUUCACUAGAUGGGAAUAACAUACGCAGCAGCACUUGGUGCUAUAUCACUAACCCAAAGGCACAAUUCUCAGCUCUCCCUCUGAGAGCAUCUCAAGCCUCCCAGACCCAUCUAGACCUUAGUUCAUUUUACCAGUAUUGCCAAGGAGACUUCUAUAAUCCUCACAAAACUUGCCUCUGAAGUGGACCAAGUCAACUAAACACAUGCCAUAGAGCCAAAAGAGACACAGAUCAUUACUGUCUCUACCAUAAUCUGUAAUGGUGGCCAUCAGCGAUACUCUUGAGAUCCAGUUCCCUGACUUUUUGUGCCCUAUUAUGAUUGCUUUCCCAGCAGAAAGAUCAAAAAGGAAGCCCUCAGAUGACCCUGCCCUAUAAAUACCCUUCAAAGGAUGUCACAAUCCAAAUGAUCCCAUGCCCAGAAUGCCCUUGCUCUUCCAGCACAUGUUCCACAGGGCAGCACCACAAAGCCAGCAUCCCUCCAUGUGAAAUCACAUUUCUGAGCCUCUUCAAAGUUUUCCAAUCUGAUCUUCUGCACCGCAGACAAAUGCCAUGCCAGACUCUCCCCACUGAUGGGACCACAAUCAAAGCCAGAUUGCUUCACCAUCAAAACAAUGCCUGGAGAGCCCAUGUUGUUCAGUCUGCUUCUCGAUGGAAAAUUCAUCUAUGCGGAUACAAUGCCACCAGCUUGUCCAGGGCUGGUGCAAGCAGAGGCAUCUCAAUACAUGAAGAUUACCAAGGGUUUGGCUGCCAAUAUUUUCAGUUGUUUUUUGUUGUUGUUUUUGCCUUUUUUUUUUUUUUAAACUCCAUUUCCUCCUUGUUUUAGACAAUUCCAAUUCAUUCUGUCUCUUGAGCACUGUCUCAUUUUGCAUCUGUUUUCCCUUUGCAUAUUUUCCCUUGUUUACUUUUGUAAGCAGUCAGUUGUUUUUAUUCAAUUCCCUAUGGUUUUCUUUGGGUUUUUCAGUUUUUCUAAUCUUCUCUCCAGCUCUUCCAUUCUCACUUCUUACCUUCUAUUCCAGAGAGCUGCUAAAGCACUGUUUCCAAUUAGGUCUGUUUUGUCUUGUUUACUGUUCUUUUCCUCUCCCUUGUGUUUUACAGCAACCACCUUUUUCUUUUUCUUUUCCUUUUUUUCCCCCUUGCUGAUCAGAAGCCAGGAAGCUUCUACUUCUUCACUACUGUUGAUUUCAGUCAUUUAUGUAUUUUUCUUUCCCCAAGAAAUAGAGUGGAUGGCUGCUUCAAAGAGUCUGCACUGCAAUUGUAGCAAUCGCUGUGGAAAUCGCAUCCAUGCACAUUAAACUGUAGCAAGAAAAAAAGACCAUUAUAAUAUCUUCUCUACUCUUUUUGUAAUUAAUUAUUUUACUUAUUCAUCCCAAAGCACUCCAUUGGGUGUGGAUGCAAUUUAACUGCCAUAUUUCCUUAUGGAAAGACCAACAGACACAGGAUAUUGUGC